rnacentral:rRNA from 1 species
GGAGGGGGCGAGCGUUAUUCGGAAUUAUUGGGCGUAAAGGGCAGGUAGGCGGCCUCAUAUGUCCCUUGUGAAAGCCCUCGGCUCAACCGAGGAACUGCAGGGGAAACUGUGGGGCUUGAGUCCGGGAGAGGGUAGCGGAAUUCCCAGUGUAGCGGUGAAAUGCGUAGAUAUUGGGAGGAACACCAGUGGCGAAGGCGGCUACCUGGACCGGUACUGACGCUCAGCUGCGAAAGCUAGGGGAGCAAACGGGAUUAGAUACCCCGGUAGUCCUAGCUGUAAACGAUGAGCACUUGGUGUGGCGGGUAUCGACCCCCGCUGUGCCGAAGCUAACGCAUUAAGUGCUCCGCCUGGGGAGUACGGUCGCAAGGCUG